GCAAACCGGGUCUGCAGUGGAUUUUAACAUCGGAGACAAACCCUCUAGUGCUUGUUUCCCAGUUUAGAGCAACUUUGCUUUCCUAGCUGCACAUCCUGUGUGUGCAAUAACCAGAGGAGUUAAGUUGAUCUCGGGAGGGGAUCAAGCAGCGUAUAAAUGAGAAGAGAGGAGUGUAUUCGAGUGCUAUGGAGGGCAGUAACUGUUGCUGUGACUUUUAAAAGCCUUCCAGGAAAUUCCAUGGAAUUGCACUGAAAGAGACUCUUGGGAUGCCGCUCUCUGGAUUAAAGUUUGGAAAGAAGAAAUUGAAAGAGGAAGAGAGGCACCUUCAGGCAAACAAUCGGGACUUUAAUCUGGAGUUCGAAUAUG